rnacentral:rRNA from 1 species
CCAGCAGCCGCGGUAAUUCCAGCUCCAAUAGCGUAUAUUUAAGUUGUUGCAGUUAAAAAGCUCGUAGUCGGACUUUGGGCGCGGUGGACCGGUCCGCCGUUUCGGUGUGCACUGGUCUGCGGCGCCUUUUUUGUCGAGGACGCGCCUCUUGCCUUGAUUGGCGGGAGCGCGGAGUCGGCGCGGUUACUUUGAAAAAAUUAGAGUGUUCAAAGCGGGCGUUCGCUUGAAUAUAUUAGCAUGGAAUAACACUAUAGGACUCUGGUCCUAUUUUGUUGGUCUUCGGGACCGGAGUAAUGAUUAAGAGGAACAGUCGGGGGCAUUCGUAUUUCCUUGUCAGAGGUGAAAUUCUUGGAUCGGGGGAAG